UACGGAGGUGGCAAGCGUUGUUCGGAAUUACUGGGCGUAAAGCGCACGUAGGCGGUUCGCUAAGUGGGAUGUGAAAGCCCUGGGCUCAACCUGGGAACUGCAUUUCAGACUGGCGGACUAGAGUACGGUAGAGGGCGGUGGAAUUCCCGGUGUAGCGGUGAAAUGCGUAGAGAUCGGGAGGAACACCCGUGGCGAAGGCGGCCAUCUGGACCAGCACUGACGCUGAGGCACGAAAGCGUGGGGAGCAAACAGG
rnacentral:rRNA from 1 species